ACAGCUCAGUGGUAGAGCAUCUGCUUUGCAUGCUGAAAGUCCUGGGUUCAACCCUUGGCAUCUGCA